CUAGGAUGGUGAUGGUGAAGUGCUCAGGACGAUUAGAGGCUACAAAAGCAGAAAAGCCAAUAUAAAUGGGGAUUUCAACUAUUCCCAUAUUGACUGAGUACUUGUCACCUGAGGAUGGGCUGCAAAGAUAAAACUUCUAGACACCUUUAAUCACAGCUUCUUGGAGCAGCUAGUUCUGGAACCCACAAGGGGAGAGAGCAAAAAUGAGCUGUUUUACUGCUACUUUUCUAACCACUAACCAUCAAGUCUGCUUUUUAAAAAAAAAAAUCCAUUUCAUCCUGUAAUGGUUCUAAACAGCAGGACACCUACUGUUUAAAAGACCAUCCCAAAGUAGACCUAAGUAUCAUCAAUACAAUUCUGCUGGAGGAAUGCAUUCAAUAAGCAGCUUGUCAUGCCCCUCAGUGGUCACUUGAGAUCGGUUUCACUGUAUAUUGUUUUGAGCCCAGGCCCCUGAAGCCCCCCUCCUUCUCCACCAGAAGCCCCUAAUCUCAAUUCAACUAGCAGAGUUCUGUUGGAGGGUGGAGCAGGACGAUGCUCCCUGAGAGCUCUCUGCUUCCCAAAACAUUGGCAAGUCUGUGAAGGAGCAGAGCUGGUGGAUCCAGGUGGUAGCAGUAACCUUGAGGAGGUGUGAUUGGCAGAGGAGGCACAUCUGCUGAGGCUACAGUAGCAGCCAAGGAGAGACCUGAGGAGAUGACCUGACCUCCACUGAGUAGUUUUACAAUGCCUAGCCUGAUCGCUUGACUGGUAUUCUGAGAUUAGGAUUUGCUCUUUUGUGCCAAAUUUGGAGCAUACUUCCUUGUUGCGCUGCUAUUUAUGUUUUUCAGCCCCACUGUAGAAAAAGAAAUGGGUGGAGGGGGGGGAGGCAGAGGAAAUAAAGUAACUUUGGCUGUAUUAUGAACUGUUAUUCAUUUUUUUAACACUACAGUGAAAACUUUCUAUUGUAAGUGUCCA